UUUUUUUUCCUUUUAUUUUUUAUUUUUUUGCAUGGGAUCAUAGAGAUGUUAUAUGAGCAAGUUGGGUAAAUUUUGAACCCAUCAAAAUAAAUUGAGUCGAAAAAUAAAUCCUAACCCAACUCAUUUAAAGUUUAUAUGAGUUGAGAUGGGUUAUGCAAAGUAUUAUAACUCCAUUCGUCUAACUCAAGUUUCGACUAUCAAAUUUUCCAAGGAUACAACUGCGAUCCCUAAAAAACUUUAAUUAGCAAUCCAACUCAAUUUUUUUUCUACCAAACCAACAGAAAUUAUUGGUUUGCAAGUUCCUUAUUUUUGGUAGGAGGGAAUACACGCAGCCGUCACAAUCUCUGCCGCAGUCUCUGAACUUCGAGUGAGCACUUUGUGCGCAAUGAGUAAACCUCCCUCGGGGGAUGUAAACUACACUAAGCAAGGCCUGUGCAACAGGGUCAACCCAAUAGGCAUUGAGGAGGGAAUCGUUCUCAAGUCAUCCGCAUGGAUAACCACCCUCCAAACCAACUGGGAAUCGAUCCCAGGUCAUCCUAUGCAAGGGCAUAUGCUAUAACUCUGUUAUCAUAUCUUUAGACAAGGAAUAACUUUAGUUUAUUGAUUUUUUUGAAUCUUAAGUUACAAAAGGCCCUGGGUGAGUAUUUGGAAAAGUAAAAUGUACUAGUUGAGGUUUGAUCCUUUGAUCUCUUAGAGAAAAAUUAAGCAAAUUAUCAACACAUUAAGACAAAAAUUAUGUCAAGUAAUGUCAUUUUUUCCUAGUUAUUUGUUUCCGUAUAGUAUAAAUACAUAUACUUAAUAAACAUAAAUAACCGUCCCAAACCAACUGUGCAAGUUUGGUGUUGUAAAUCUUUUUACAUAGAAGAAAGAGAUACCUUCAGCAAAUUUUUUUUAAAAAAAAAAAAGAAAAAAAAGAAAGAAAGAGAUAGGAGUAUAUAGUUAAAACCCCAUUGGGUAUAUUAUUGGCUAUACCGUUGCUGCUCCAUACUUUUUUCAGCAAUGAAGACAACUGAAGACGAAGGUUCAGUGAGAAAAGUAAUAUGUUAAAGGAAUUAGUUUAAUGGACGUCAAGAUAUUUUUGUUUUUUACCCGUUAAAUAAGUUAGUAUUGUUUUUGCUGUUAGUACUGUAGUUAUUAUGGCAUGUAGUACUCUUGCAAGUGGCCUCUGAUUGAACAUCUCAAUGAGUGGGAAGUCAGUAAAUGUUAAAUCUAACAAAAUAAAUCACAGUGGGGGGAGAAACCAUUACAGAAUGCAGCCAAUCCAGACCCCUUAGCAAAGAAUUUAUAAGACUAAAAAGAUGAUCCAUUUUGGUGCCUAAUAUAUCUAGAAGAUGAAAUCAGUAGCUCAGAACACCACAGCAUAAAUUUGCCAUUUUAGUCCUUGUAUUCGAGGUAUUGUAAAUGAGUCCCUAAGUUCACUAAACAUGUUCAACUAUUAAUCAGGGGCCGCUCGAUGACCCUAGUAAGUGGCCAAAGAUGUCCCAUCGUCUUGAGCUACAUUUAAGUUCUUAUAAGUGUGAGUGUUAUUGUGUUAAAAUAAAAAAUCAGAAAAUUGUUAAAAGAAUUAAAAAAAUUUGAAAAUAGUGGAGAAUCAAAGAUAUUCCGAGUCCACAAGUUUCUUGUGUGUCCUUAAGAAAUUUUAACCCCCUCACACGUUGCCAAGGUAAUGGAUUAAAUUCUCUCAGGAUAAAACGGAAUAAACCUUCCUACAAUAGUGGCAAUACAAACUGCAGCAUACCAAUCGAACUCAAAGAACGGAGCAAAAUCACACUUACGAAUUUGAGAGAGAGUAACUGUGAAUUAGGAUGCAGUAUAUUCAGAAAGAAAGACAUUCUGGAGUAUUUUUCGUGUUUAUAAGAUGCAGCCUUGCCUCGAAAUUUAUAGGCAAAUAUUAGAAGAUGUGUCUGGAAAAUGUGCCUUUUCAGAAAAUAUGCAGCCUGCCGCGGUUCUACCGCGAUCGCGGCAAAACCGCGGCCAGAUAUGCUCUCUGAAAGGGACUACCGCGGUUCUAUAGCGGUCGCGGCAGAAACGUGGUCCAAAAAUAAUUUUAUCGAUCGAUCAUUUGACAAAUCCAAAGCCGAAUCGAGCGACGACGACGACGGCGCGAGUGUUCAUUCUCUUCAGCUCCUGUUAAGAGCUUUAAGAAGUGAUUCAAUAUAUAAGCACACAAAUGUGGUCGUCCCUCACCAGUGAGGGACAAAGUGCAAGACAAAAGUUCACUUCUUCAAAUUUUCAUUUUCCCUCCAUUUUAUUUCCCUCCAUUUCUAAUUCACACUUCUUCUACUUUAAAGCCAAAUGGCUUAAAGUCUUCAACAAUCCCCCACAUGAAUGAGAAUGGUUGUAUCAAGAAAGAUCAUAGAUGUAAGCUAUGUGAUUUUGCAAGUAAGGAUUAAUUGCAUCUGGAUAAGUAGGUUUCUCUUUGAACUUUCCGUAAUGAACAUUUGUCGGAUAUACUUGGUCAAUCGGUAGAUUUGAUAUCUUUGAACCGUCGAACUUUAGUGUAUACCUAGACAANNNNNNNNNNNNNNNNNNNNNNNNNNNNNNNNNNNNNNNNNNNNNNNNNNNNNNNNNNNNNNNNNNNNNNNNNNNNNNNNNNNNNNNNNNNNNNNNNNNNNNNNNNNNNNNNNNNNNNNNNNNNNNNNNNNNNNNNNNNNNNNNNNNNNNNNNNNNNNNNNNNNNNNNNNNNNNNNNNNNNNNNNNNNNNNNNNNNNNNNNNNNNNNNNNNNNNNNNNNNNNNNNNNNNNNNNNNNNNNNNNNNNNNNNNNNNNNNNNNNNNNNNNNNNNNNNNNNNNNNNNNNNNNNNNNNNNNNNNNNNNNNNNNNNNNNNNNNNNNNNNNNNNNNNNNNNNNNNNNNNNNNNNNNNNNNNNNNNNNNNNNNNNNNNNNNNNNNNNNNUUUUAUUUGAGCUCCUUGAACCUAGAUCUCGGAACAACCAAAAUUCUAGGUAGAGUUACCGUCAUGUUGACUUGUCCUCGGCCAUAGUCCCAUUUCCUUAGAGGAUUUCUCAACUCCCUCUCUAGUUAAUCAUUUUGUAAGCGGAUCCACAACAUUAUCCUUUGAUCUUAUAAUCAGUAGUGAUAAUUCUACUAAAAAGUAAUUGUCUAAUGGUAUUAUAUCUUCGUCGUAUAUGACGAUAAUUUCCGUUAUGCGCAACGCUCCCUGCCCGUCCUAUUGCAACCUCACUAUCACAAUGUAUGUAGAUUGGAGCCAAAGGUUUUGGCCAGAACGGAAUGUCUUCUAAAAAAUUCCGAAGCCAUUCAGCUUCUUCACCGGCUUUAUCCAAUGCUAUAAACUCUAAUUCCAUUAUAGAGCGAGCAAUGCAUGUCUAUUUGGAAGACUUCCGAGAUACUGCUCCUCCACCAAUAGUAAUUAUCCAAUGCUAUAAAUUCUAAUUCCAUUGUAGAGCGAGCAAUGCACGUUUAUUUGGAAGACUUCCAAUAUACUGCUCCUCCACCAACAGUAAACACAUAUCCACUUGUGGACUUUGUUUCUGUUGAGCCGGAUUCUGCAUCACUAUAUCCUUCGAUAACUGCAAGAUAUUUAUUGUAGUGCAAAGCGUAGUCUUGGUUAUACUCCAAGUAUCCCAGAACCCAUUUCAUUUCCACCUAGAGAUGUUUGUUGGGAUUACUUGUGAAUUGACUAAGUUUACUUAUUGCACAAGCUAUAUCAGGUCGUGUACAGUUCAUGAUGUACAUUAAGCUUCCCAACACACGAGCAUACUCCAAUUGAGACAUACUUCAUAAUGUACAUUAAGUUUUCCAACACACGAGCAUACUCAAAUUGAGACGUAUUUUCACCUUUAUUCUUAAUAAGAUGAUGAUUUAAGUCAAUUGGAGUUAUUACACUUUUAAAUUCCAAGUGUUUGAAUUUUUCAAGUAACAUUUUCACGUAAUUUGAUUGAGACAAAGCUAGAUCCUGAGGAGUUCUCUGGAUUUUAAUUCCUAGAAUUACAUCAGCAACUCCUAAGUCUUUCAUAUAAACUUACUAGCUAGCAUACGCUUAGCAGCUUGAAUGUCGGCAAUGUCUUUGCCCAUUAUUAGCAUAUCAUCACAUAUAAGCAAACAAUGACUACAUGAUUUUGAACAUUCUUAAUGUAAACACAUUUAUCACAUUCAUUAAUCUUAAAACCAUUUGACAAUAUUAUUUGGUCAGAUUUCGCAUGUCAUUGUUUGGGUGCUUGUUUUAGUCCAUAAAGAGACUUAACAAGUCUAUACACCUUCUUUUCUUUUUCCGGAACCACAAACCCUCCAGGUUGGUUCAUGUAAAUUUCUUCCUCAAGAUCUCUAUUUAAGAAGGCUGUUUUUACAUCCAUUUGAUGGAUUUGAAGACCAUACAAGGCGGUUAACGCUGUUAGCAUCCGAAUGGAUGUAAUUCUUGUUAUCAGCGAGUAUGUGUCAAAGUAGUCAAGACCUUCUCGUUAUCUAAAUCCUUUGACAAUAAGUCUUGCCUUGUAUUUGUCAAUAGUACCAUCGUCUUUCAUUUUCUUCUUGAAAAUCCAUUUAGAACCAAACUUUUUGUUACUUGGAUGAAGAUCGACCAAUUCCCAAGUAUGAUUGCUCAAUAUGGAUUCUAUUUCACUAUCGACAGCUUCUUUCCAGUAUUGUGCGUCUGAGGAAGACAUUGCUUCCUUGAAGGUACGAGGUUCAUUUUCUAACAGAAAAGUCAGGAAAUGUGCCUCUGAGGAAGACAUUGAUUCCUUGAAGGUACGAGGUUUAUUUUCUAACAAAAAAUUCAGGAAAUCUGGACCGAAUGAAAUAGAUGUCUUUUGACAUUUACUUCUUCUCGAAUUUUCUUCAUUAGGUAUUCCACCUGUUGUUUCCUCCCGAGGUCGUUUUGACUUUUGGCAGGUCACUUCACUUUCCUUUUUAUACGGAAAGAUAGAUUCAAAGAAUUCAGCAUUAUCUGAUUCUACUAUCGUAUUAAUGUGAAUCUCAAGAUGUUCUAAUUUAUGAACCAAAAAACGAAAUGCCUUGCUAUUGGUUACAUAUCCAAUAAACACACAAUCAACCGUUUUCUGGACCUAUGUUAACCCUUUUAGGUUUACAUAAAUGUACCUUAGCUAAACACCCCCACACUUUGAAGUAUUUCAAGCUAGCUUGCUUCCUUUCCACUUCUCAUAAGGAAUGGACUGUGUUUUACUAUGAGGUACACGGUUGAUUAUUCGGUUAGCUGUAAUUAUAGCUUCCCCCCGCAAGUUCUAUGGUAACCAGAACUUAUCAGCAAUGAAUUCAUUAUCUCCUUCAAUGUUCGAUUUUUCUCUCCGCAAUUCCAUUAGAUUGUGGAGAGUAAGGGGGAAGUUGUUUGGUGAAUAAUGUCAUUUUGCAAACAUAUUUCUUCAAAAGGAGAUUCCUAUUCACCACCCCGAUCACUUCUUAUCAUUUUGAUCUUUUUAUUUAGUUGCGUUUCAACUUCAUUCUUGUAUUGCUUGAAAGCAUCAAUUGCCUCAUCUUUACUAUUAAAUAAAUAAACAUAGCAAUAUCUCGUGCUAUCGUCAAUAAAAAGUAAUAAAAUACUUUUUUCCCACCGCGAGAUGGUGUUGACUUCAUGUCGCAAAUAUCCGUAUUAAUUAAGUCUAAAGGACUUGAAUUCCUUUCAACAGACUUAUAAGGAUGCUUGUCAUACUUUGAUUCCACACAUAUUUGACAUUUAGAAUUAAUGCAAUCAAAUUUUGGCAAUACUUAUAGAUUUAUCAUUUUUCGCAAUAUUUUGAAGUUUACGUGACCUAAACGUGAAUGCCAUAAAGUGUUUGACUCAAGUAAGUAAGAAGAAGCAUUCUCUUUAUUGAUAGGAACUGCUAUUACAUUUAUCUUAAAAAGGCCCUCAUUCUGGUCGCCAUUUCCUACAUACAUAUCAUUCUUACUAAGUACAACACUACUAGAAACAAAAAUACAUUUGAAUCCAUUCUUGACAAGAGUGAAGUAGACACAAGGUUCUUGCAAAUUUCUAGAACAUGGAGCACUUGGUUUAGAGUCACUAUUUUUUCCGAUGUCAUCUUCAAUGCAAUCCUGCCAACCCCUUCAAUUUUGGCAGUUGAUGAAUUUCCCAUGAAGAUUGUCUCGUCGGGUCCUGCGGGGGUAUAAGAAGAAAAUAAUUCCUAGUUAGCACACACACGGUGGAUGGCUCCAGAAUCUAUCCGCCAUUCUUUCGGAUUUCCUACCAAGUUGCAUUCCAAAAACAUGGCACAUAUGUCCUCCAUUUCAUCUUCAACCAUGUUAGCUUAAUUCUUUUUCUUCUUAUCAUUCUUUGGCGCGUGACAAUCCACUACCUUCUGCCCAGUUUUUCCACAAUUAUGGCAAUUACCCUUGAACUUCUUCUUUCUUGGGUAAUUCUUUGGUCCAAAGGCCUUCUUCCUCUUCUUAUUUUGUGGUGCCUCCUCAACAACGUUUGCCCCCAUUAUUUUUUCGUGUCCACGUGACUUCUUUUCAGUAUUUUUGUUAUCUUCUUCUAUCCUUAGACGAACAAUCAAGUCUUCUAAUGUCAUCUCAUUUCGCUUAUGUUUAAGAUAGUUCUUAAAAUUCUUCCAUAACGGAGGUAACUUCUCAAUGAAAGCAGCGACUUGAAAGGCUUCAUUUAUGACCAUACCUUCAAUAACAAACUCAUAAUUAGUAAUAAGAUAGAUCUUAUUAAUAAAAUUAUUGGCUCGGGUCAUACCUUCGGCAAGGAGGUCAUGUACAAUAAGUUGUAGUUCUUGGACUUGAGUUAUGACCGACCUAGUGUCAAUUAUCUUGAAAUCCAGAAACCUUGCAGCCACGAACUUCUUAAGUCCGGCAUCCUCAGUCUUGUACUUCUUCUCAAGCGCAUUCCAUAAGGCUUUUGAAGUUUCCAUGACUUGUAAUUCUUGGACUUGAGUUAUGACCGACCUAGUGUCAAUCAUCUUGAAAUUCACAAAUCGUGCUGCCACGAACGUCUUAAGUCCGCAUCCUCAGUCUUGUACUUCUUCUCAAGCGCACUCCAUAACGCUUUUGAAGUUUCCAUGACACUAUAGACAUUAUACAAGUCAUCUUCCAAACAACUCAGAAUGUAGUUUCUGCACAAAAAAUCAGAAUGUUUCCAUGCUUUAGUUACAACAAGUCGUUCAUCAUCCGGAGUGUUUUCUGCCAAGACCGGAGGAUCCUCCUUGAUGAAACGUUGCAGACUCAACGUAGUACGAUAGAAGAGCAUCUUCAUUUGCUAGCAUUUGAAGUCAAUACCGAAAAACUUUUCGGGUUUUUCCGCUGGUGCCAUAGCAUGGGCAGGAGUAGAACGACUUGGUUUGAAGUCAAUACGGGAAAAAUUUUCGGGUUUUUCCGCCGGUGCCAUAGCAUGAGCAAGAGUAGAACGGCUUGUCGAAGCAACAACACUCGUAACAGUAGCACCCGUUCCCGCAGUAAUUCCAUUAGUUUGGUUUUCAUUCGUCAUGUUUCUGUAGAGUUGAAAAUAAUACAGAACUUUGUUAGUGAAGUUUUGAUAUCUUCAAACUGAAUACAAAACCAAACAUAUAACAUGUAACUAUGGUGAAGUUUUUAUAUACUUCAAACCCGUACGUUUAUUAUUCCGGCAAAAUUUUUAUAUACUUUAAACCGGACAUAAACAAUUAUUGGAGUAGAAAACAACAAGGCUUUAGUCUCCAACAAAAUAUAUAGAAAACAGUUUAAUAUAUAUAAUCAACACAGAAACGUUAGUGCAUAUAAAAUUCCUUAAGCUUGUGAGCGUUACUGUGUUACAAAAGAAAUCAGAAAACAGUUAGAAGAAUUAAAGAAAUCUGAAAAUAGUAGAGAAUCAAAGAUAUUCCGAGUCCGCAAGUUUUUUGUAUGUCCUUAAGGAAUUUUAACCCCCUCCCACGUUGUCAAGGUAAUGGAUGAAAUCCUCCUAGGAUAAAACGAAAUAAACCUUCCUACAACAGUGUCAAUACAUACUGCAGGAUACCAACGAACUCAAAGAACGGAAAAAAUCACAGUUACGAAUUUGAGAGAGAGUAACUGCGAAUUAGGAUCCAGUAUAUUCAAAAAGAAAGAAGUUCUGGAGUAUAUUUCGUGUGUAAAAGAUGCAACAUUGCCUAAGAAUUUAUAGCAAAUAUCAUAAGAGGUGUCUGGAAAAGGUGUCUUUUCAAAAAAUAUGCAGCCUGCCGCGGUUCUGCCACGAUCACGGCAGAACUGCGGCCAGAGAUGCUCUCUGAAAAGGACUGCCGCAGUUCUACAGUGGCCGCGGCAGAAAUGCGGCUAGCUAGGUUCUGGCGUAUUUUCAGCAAUGAUUUGACAUUUAAUUAAUUAUUAUAUAAUUAAAUAAAUUUUGUCCAAAAUCCAAAGCCGAAGCCGAACGACAACACAAGGAUUCAUUCUCUUCAAUUCAUUUUAAGAGUUUUAAGAAGUGAUUCUAUAUAUAAGCAUACAAAUGUGGUUGUCCCUCACCAACGAGGGACAAAGUGCAAGACAAAAGUUCACUUCUUAAAAUUUUCAUUUUCCCUCCAUUUUAUUUCCCUCCAUUUCCAAUUCAUACUUCUUCUACUUUAAAUCCAAAUGGCUUAAAGUCUUCAACAAUAACUACCUUAAAAGUUAUGAAUAAUAAUUGCAAAAGAGAGUGACAUAUCAGGAUCAUUAAAGUGGUAGAUCAACAGUAGGUGCAAUGGGUUCAAUAGAAAAUCCUCUGUCUAGCUCGGACUCUAUCUAUGUCUGUGUGAAAAGAUUGCACAUAUAUAAAGAACAGAACACACUAAUCUAAAUCCUCAUAUAAUUGCUUCAAGUAGAGGCUGACCAUGACUCACUCCGAAAACAAAAUAUAUUGGGAGGGACAGGCCCUGUAAAUAUAGAAGCCAGCAAAUUCCGAAAACGAAAAUUAAGAAGUGAGUUCAAAAGCAAAAGGUGAGAAAAGUAGCUGCAUAUUUCAGGAUGGAAAGGAUCAUAGACGUUAGGCCUCAGCUAAACAUAAAAAAGAUAGUGUAGUUUUAUUCCCGUACGUCUCUUAGGUUGGUCUAACAACUGUCCAAAAUAAAGAUUCAUUCCAAGAUAUGAAAAAAUUGCAGAAUUAUUACAAAGAUACUUUCAUCAUUAUGAUGUUGAGUAUAUGAUUCUAUUCUACUCUUACCAAAGAAACAUCAAUAAAGACACCCUAAAAUAACCAAUAGAGUAGAGUAAGCGGCACAAAAAAACAAGCUACAACCUACACAAGAAGCAGCCACAAUAUCAACAAUGUCUCUGGAAUUGGGCGCACAUCAAUCCCAACUUUGAAGCUACUGCAACCAAAACCAAAUUUUCAGUAGAUCACAAAUCAGAGGUAAUAUAAUUCGAAGAUUUUUCAUCAGAAUCCUUUUUGGAUAAACAUGUCAGAUAUUGAUGGAGUUGUUUGUUACGACACAACUUGACAAGUUGACAAUGUAUUGACACAAAAAUCAGUCCUAUUUUUGUGUUCUGUAAUUUCUUUUCUUUAUUGCUUUUCUUCUCCACCUUAGGGAUUAAGUUUUGCUUUCCGUUACCUUAAGGAAUAGUAGAGUUUAAUGUGAGAGUAUCAUGAAAACACGCUUCAUUAAUACUAAGACACAUGACAAAGAAAUUAGAACAAUCUAAGAUGAUGAGCUUUACGACAGCAGCAACAGUCAUUCAAACCGUAAGGAUAAUGAAUAUUUAAAAGGAACACCUGUUGCCUUAAAUAACAAAAGACCUUUAUUCUCCACAUUCUUAGUGGAUCUAGACCUUGUAACUAGUACGUAAGCAGACUUCAAUGAUAUGCCCAAAACUCCAAGUAAAUAUAAUGAAAUGUAGCACCGUCACACAACUUAUCAAACUUUAUGCUUUGCACCUUGAGGUGUCGAUGUUAUAAAAAAUGUUAAGGAACAAAAGACACAAGCGUACAACAUCAGAAAUAGUUUAAGAGUCACUUUUAGCGUUACUUUAAGCUGAAAAAAAAGAAAAUAAAAUCAAGGAGAUGAAGCUGAGGAAAAAAGGGUAAGCAUAUGAGGAACUUAUCCUGUCCUGACCAAUCUAUUUAUUGUCAACAACCUCAUUAAGCAACCCCCAUUUCCAACCGAGAGGUUGUGAGUUCGAGUCUUCCCAAGAGCAAGGUGAGAAGUUCUUGGAGGGAAGGAUGUCGGGGAUCUAUUUGGAAACAGCCUCUCUACCCAAAGGUAGGGAUAAGGUCUGCGUACAUACUACCCUCCCCAGACCCACUAAGUGGGAUUAUAAUGGGUUAGUUAUUGUUGUUGUUGACCUCAUUAAUGAUACAUCUAACCAAGUAUCUAUCUGGAUCAAUAUUUUAUGGUGUUAAAUACAAAAGCUAGAGCAGUCAACAAUAAUGAAAUUCUUAGCUUGGUAAACUUUCUUUAGAAUUAGAUAAAUUGAUAAUGCAGAGAGUAAAAUAAAGCCAUAACAAAAUGGAUAAUGACAAUUCUUAUUAAACAAUUCAUGAAUAGUACAGAGCAGUCUAUAUAACUAACAAUCAUUUGGCAUCCAUGUAAACCAGAAACAACAUUGUUUUAAUAAUAUUAUUAGCAAUAAAGAAAUUAUCUUGUCUUUGUCUCAUAUUUCAAAGUGGCUCUAUAUUUAAAACUGGAAAUUAUCAAUUGGGUCCAUGAUAGAUUGUAGCUAGCAGAUGUACUAAGGUAGUCUCAUGCGUGACGAAAUUAAUGGAUCAUAAAGUGACUUUGCUCUCUACUUUUAUUCAACAUAAACCCAUUCUUAUCCAUUCCUUGAAUUUUAUAACUAGAUUUGCAUCAUUAAAAAGGCCAAAAGGACACAGUUACACUAAACAACCACAACUUUUAAGUAGAGUAUAUUACAGAAAUAUCAAGAAUUGUCCCUUUCUAAAGUCUCUCCCUCCUCUUUAGAAAACCUCAGAACUUUCGUCCGGUUUGGAUCGUUAGAGGUUGAAGCAUGCCAUCAUAUCUUACCAAGAUGUGUUUUGGCACUCACAACCAAAUGAAAGGACAAGGUCAGGGUCCCAUCAAACUCCUUUAUUUAUAAGUGAAAGAUGUGAUUCCCAGAGAAUCACCUUGACUAAGAACUCAAAUGGAGUAACCGUUUGCAGAUUGCAUUAUGAGGAUCAUUGAUCAAUAAUCAAGUAACUUAUAAAGCUAAUACUUGAUUAAAAGAUUAACCAAUUAUUGAGGCUUAAGGAUGAAGAAAAAUGAGCAAAAGGGAAGUAAAACUAGGCCACAAUUCCCAGCUAGUUGGGACAAAAACUUGAUUAAGUUGAACACAUGAUUGUUGUGUAGAAAUUAAUUAUGUGCUCUCACUACCUUCUAAAACAAAAGAAAGAAGAAAGGAAGGGGAAGUUGAAUAAUGGGCAUAUAUCAGGUACAAGUGACAGUACCACAAAUUGAGUUCCCCAUCAUGAUGACCACGGCACCUGAAACUUUCAAUAAACAAUGGCUUUAUGUUUGAGAGGUCUUGGGCUUGAGUUGAUUGGUAGCCAAUUGGCCAUACGAAUUGCACACGAAAGCCACGCGCAAUGACUGCUAGCAGAAUCCCACUUCAGAAACCUACCGUGCAUUUGCGUUUUCUUUGUCUUCCAUCUUUUGUACUUUCUUAGUUUCUUCCCUUACAACAACAAC
rnacentral:lncRNA from 1 species